rnacentral:misc_RNA from 1 species
GUCAAUUGAUCAUUUGCAUAUUUGAACAAAAAAUAGCCAGAUUAUGAGUUAUUAUCAUCUGAUCUGUUUUCUUUUUGAAGACAUUUUCCUAGGAAAAAAUAAAAAUUUUGAAGGAAGUGUCUGAGUAUCAAUCCGGUGACCCCCUGUUUGGAAUUAAUUCUUGGUGGAACAGCUAAACCAACUAUUUUUUUGGCAUUAUUUUUGUAUAUAAGCUCACAUCAACUAAUUUGGAAUACAGACCAAAAUUAUUUGUAAUUACUGGCCCUUUAAUAUUAGAGAUUGGCUGUGCCAAGCAUGUGAUAGUGGAAGUGCAUUUAUUUGAUGCCAAGAAAUGUUCAGAUUUCACUAGAAUUAUCAGCACUGUUGUUUCUUUUUCUGUUUUUCUGGCGCUGAUGUCUUGGAUUUUUGCAGGUGGUUGCAGGCGUUCGUAAAAA